UUUUCUAACUUGGCUGAAGACACUGAAGGAUCACCCAGAUGUUGUUUCCUACUCCCUCCGGCCAAUCUACGAGCUGAUGACAAAUUAUACACAAAAUACAGGGAUGAAAGCUGCCAUUGAGCAGUACUUAGAGGACAAUGCUGUGAAAAAAUCGCCCAAUGAGCCAAACUGUGGUUCAAACAUUUCUAAUCUGGCUUCCAACUGCUGUCCUCUGCAAGCCUGGAGGGGGACGCUAAGGGUUACCAUUGUGCGAGCCUGGGACCUGAAAGGAGAUACAACUGGCCAGACUGAGAGCUAUGCAAAAAUGUGGUUUGGCUCCAGCUAUCGGCAGA